UCAAGCGAAUAAGCGCACACGGUGGAUGCCUAGGCGGUCAGAGGCGAUGAAGGACGUGGUAGCCUGCGAAAAGUGUCGGGGAGCUGGCAACAAGCUUUGAUCCGGCAAUAUCCGAAUGGGGAAACCCACUGCUUCGGCAGUAUCUUGCAGUGAAUUCAUAGCUGCUUGAAGCGAACCCGGUGAACUGAAAUAUCUAAGUAACCGGAGGAAAAGAAAUCAACCGAGAUUCCCUGAGUAGUGACGAGCGAACGGGGAACAGCCCUUAAGCUGGAAUGGCUUUAGAAAAACAAUCUGGAAAGAUUGGCCAUAGAAGGUGAUAGCCCUGUAUUUAAAAGGGCCACUCCAGUGAAGACGAGUAGGGCGGGGCACGUGAAACCCUGUCUGAAUAUGGGGGGACCAUCCUCCAAGGCUAAAUACUCCUGACCGACCGAUAGUGAACCAGUACCGUGAGGGAAAGGCGAAAAGAACCCCGGAGAGGGGAGUGAAAUAGAUCCUGAAACCGUGUGCGUACAAGCAGUAGGAGCUCGCAAGAGUGACUGCGUACCUUUUGUAUAAUGGGUCAGCGACUUACUGUUCGUGGCAAGCUUAACCGUAUAGGGGAGGCGAAGGGAAACCGAGUCUGAUAAGGGCGCAUAGUCGCGGGCAGUAGACCCGAAACCGGGUGAUCUAGUCAUGGCCAGGGUGAAGGUGCCGUAACAGGUACUGGAGGCCCGAACCCACGUCUGUUGCAAAAGACGGGGAUGAGCUGUGAUUAGGAGUGAAAAGCUAAUCGAACCCGGAGAUAGCUGGUUCUCCUCGAAAGCUAUUUAGGUAGCGCCUCGGACGAAUACUACUGGGGGUAGAGCACUGUUAUGGCUAGGGGGUCAUCGCGACUUACCAAACCAUUGCAAACUCCGAAUACCAGUACGUACUAUCCGGGAGACACACGGCGGGUGCUAACGUCCGUCGUGAAAAGGGAAACAACCCAGACCCACAGCUAAGGUCCCAAAUUCACUGCUAAGUGGAAAACGAUGUGGAAAGGCAUAGACAGCCAGGAGGUUGGCUUAGAAGCAGCCACCCUUUAAAGAAAGCGUAAUAGCUCACUGGUCGAGUCGGUCUGCGCGGAAGAUUUAACGGGGCUAAGCAGUGAACCGAAGCUUGGGGUGCGUAAAACUUCGGUUUUAUGCGCGGUAGAGGAGCGUUCCGUAAGCCUGCGAAGGUGGAUUGAGAAGUCUGCUGGAGGUAUCGGAAGUGCGAAUGCUGACAUGAGUAACGAUAAUGCGGGUGAAAAGCCCGCACGCCGAAAGCCCAAGGUUUCCUUGCGCAACGUUAAUCGACGCAGGGUUAGUCGGUCCCUAAGGCGAGGGCGAAAGCCGUAGUCGAUGGGAAGCAGGUUAAUAUUCCUGCACCUCGCGUGAGUGCGAUGGAGGGACGGAGAAGGUUAGGUGUACCGGGCGUUGGUUGUCCCGGGGAAAGGCGGUAGGUUUGGAUCUUUGGCAAAUCCGGGAUCCUUUAAGACCGAGCACCGAGACGAGCCUUUAUGGCGAAGUCACUGAUACCACGCUUCCAGGAAAAGCUCCUAAGCUUCAGCUCACGAAGACCGUACCGUAAACCGACACAGGUGGGUAGGAUGAGAAUUCUCAGGCGCUUGAGAGAACUCGGGUGAAGGAACUAGGCAACAUGGCACCGUAACUUCGGGAGAAGGUGCACCCUUUUUGGUGGCUCAUGCGAGCUAUAGCUGAAGAGGGUCGCAGAAACCAGGCCGCUGCGACUGUUUAUCAAAAACACAGCACUCUGCAAACACGAAAGUGGACGUAUAGGGUGUGACGCCUGCCCGGUGCUGGAAGGUUAAUUGAUGGGGUCAGCCGCAAGGCGAAGCUCUUGAUCGAAGCCCCAGUAAACGGCGGCCGUAACUAUAACGGUCCUAAGGUAGCGAAAUUCCUUGUCGGGUAAGUUCCGACCUGCACGAAUGGCGUAACGACAGCGGCGCUGUCUCCACCCGAGACUCAGUGAAAUUGAAAUCGCUGUGAAGAUGCAGCGUUCCCGUGGCAAGACGGAAAGACCCCGUGAACCUUUACUAUAGCUUUACACUGAACGUUGAGUUCGUCUGUGUAGGAUAGGUGGGAGGCUAUGAAACUGUGGCGCUAGCUGCAGUGGAGCCAACCUUGAAAUACCACCCUGUCGUGCUUGACGUUCUAACCUAGAUCCGUUAUCCGGAUCAGGGACCGUGUAUGGUGGGUAGUUUGACUGGGGCGGUCUCCUCCUAAAGAGUAACGGAGGAGCACGAAGGUACGCUCAGCGCGGUCGGACAUCGCGCACUGUGUGCAAAGGCAUAAGCGUGCUUGACUGCAAGAUCGACGGAUCAAGCAGGUACGAAAGUAGGUCUUAGUGAUCCGGUGGUUCUGUAUGGAAGGGCCAUCGCUCAACGGAUAAAAGGUACUCCGGGGAUAACAGGCUGAUACCGCCCAAGAGUUCAUAUCGACGGCGGUGUUUGGCACCUCGAUGUCGGCUCAUCACAUCCUGGGGCUGUAGUCGGUCCCAAGGGUAUGGCUGUUCGCCAUUUAAAGUGGUACGCGAGCUGGGUUCAGAACGUCGUGAGACAGUUCGGUCCCUAUCUGCCAUGGGCGUUGGAAGUUUGAGAGGGGCUGCUCCUAGUACGAGAGGACCGGAGUGGACGAACCUCUGGUGUUCCGGUUGUCACGCCAGUGGCAUUGCCGGGUAGCUAUGUUCGGAAGCGAUAACCGCUGAAAGCAUCUAAGCGGGAAGCGCGCCUCAAGAUGAGACUUCCCGGGGCACAAGCCCCCUAAAGGAACCAUAUAGACUAUGUGGUUGAUAGGUCAGGUGUGUAAGUACAGCAAUGUAUUGAGCUAACUGAUACUAAUGAUCCGUGCGGCUUGACCA
rnacentral:rRNA from 1 species